UACGAAGGGAGCUAGCGUUGUUCGGAAUUACUGGGCGUAAAGGGCGCGUAGGCGGUUUUGUAAGUCAGAUGUGAAAGCCCCGGGCUUAACCUGGGAGGUGCAUUUGAAACUGCAAGGCUUGAGAUCGAGAGAGGAAAGUGGAAUUACGAGUGUAGAGGUGAAAUUCGUAGAUAUUCGCAAGAACACCAGUGGCGAAGGCGGCUCACUGGCCCGGUACUGACGCUGAGGUGCGAAAGCGUGGGGAGCAAACAGG
rnacentral:rRNA from 1 species